rnacentral:rRNA from 1 species
AGAGUUUGAUCAUGGCUCAGGACGAACGCUGGCGGCGUGCCUAAUACAUGCAAGUAGAACGCUGAAGAGAGGAGCUUGCUCUUCUUGGAUGAGUUGCGAACGGGUGAGUAACGCGUAGGUAACCUGCCUUGUAGCGGGGGAUAACUAUUGGAAACGAUAGCUAAUACCGCAUAACAAUGGAUGACACAUGUCAUUUAUUUGAAAGGGGCAAUUGCUCCACUACAAGAUGGACCUGCGUUGUAUUAGCUAGUAGGUGAGGUAAUGGCUCACCUAGGCGACGAUACAUAGCCGACCUGAGAGGGUGAUCGGCCACACUGGGACUGAGACACGGCCCAGACUCCUACGGGAGGCAGCAGUAGGGAAUCUUCGGCAAUGGGGGCAACCCUGACCGAGCAACGCCGCGUGAGUGAAGAAGGUUUUCGGAUCGUAAAGCUCUGUUGUAAGUCAAGAACGGGUGUGAGAGUGGAAAGUUCACACUGUGACGGUAGCUUACCAGAAAGGGACGGCUAACUACGUGCCAGCAGCCGCGGUAAUACGUAGGUCCCGAGCGUUGUCCGGAUUUAUUGGGCGUAAAGCGAGCGCAGGCGGUUUGAUAAGUCUGAAGUUAAAGGCUGUGGCUCAACCAUAGUUCGCUUUGGAAACUGUCAAACUUGAGUGCAGAAGGGGAGAGUGGAAUUCCAUGUGUAGCGGUGAAAUGCGUAGAUAUAUGGAGGAACACCGGUGGCGAAAGCGGCUCUCUGGUCUGUAACUGACGCUGAGGCUCGAAAGCGUGGGGAGCGAACAGGAUUAGAUACCCUGGUAGUCCACGCCGUAAACGAUGAGUGCUAGGUGUUGGAUCCUUUCCGGGAUUCAGUGCCGCAGCUAACGCAUUAAGCACUCCGCCUGGGGAGUACGACCGCAAGGUUGAAACUCAAAGGAAUUGACGGGGGCCCGCACAAGCGGUGGAGCAUGUGGUUUAAUUCGAAGCAACGCGAAGAACCUUACCAGGUCUUGACAUCCCGAUGCUAUUUCUAGAGAUAGAAAGUUACUUCGGUACAUCGGCGACAGGUGGUGCAUGGUUGUCGUCAGCUCGUGUCGUGAGAUGUUGGGUUAAGUCCCGCAACGAGCGCAACCCCUAUUGUUAGUUGCCAUCAUUCAGUUGGGCACUCUAGCGAGACUGCCGGUAAUAAACCGGAGGAAGGUGGGGAUGACGUCAAAUCAUCGUGCCCCUUAUGACCUGGGCUACACACGUGCUACAAUGGUUGGUACAACGAGUUGCGAGUCGGUGACGGCGAGCUAAUCUCUUAAAGCCAAUCUCAGUUCGGAUUGUAGGCUGCAACUCGCCUACAUGAAGUCGGAAUCGCUAGUAAUCGCGGAUCAGCACGCCGCGGUGAAUACGUUCCCGGGCCUUGUACACACCGCCCGUCACACCACGAGAGUUUGUAACACCCGAAGUCGGUGAGGUAACCUUUUGGAGCCAGCCGCCUAAGGUGGGACAGAUGAUUGGGGUGAAGUCGUAACAAGGUA